GACGAACGCUGGCGGCGUGCUUAAUACAUGCAAGUCGAACGGAAAGGUCUCUUUCGGGGGGUACUCGAGUGGCGAACGGGCGAGUAACACGCGAGUAACCUGCCCUUGACUUUGGGAUAAAUUCAGGAAACUGGGGCGAAUACCGGAUAGGAGCUACUGUUGCACGGUGGGGGUUGGAAAGUUUCGGCGGUUGGGGAUGGACUCGCGGCGUAUCAGCGUGUUGGUGGGGUAGUGGUUUACCAAGGGUUUGGCGGGUAGCCGGACAGGGAGAGUGAGCGGCCACAUUGAGACUGAGGUGCGGCACAAGCUGCGACGGGAGGCAACAGGGGGGAAUAUUGCACAAGGGGUGGAGGCCUGGUGCAGCAGCGCCGUGUGCGGGAUGACGGCCUUCGGGUUGAAGACCGCUUUCGCUCGUAACUAAGCUUUGUGUGACGGUAGUGGAUAAAGAAGCACCGGCUAACUACGUG
rnacentral:rRNA from 1 species